rnacentral:rRNA from 1 species
GGCCUCUGGAUUGGACUGCGGCCGAUCAGGCUGUUGGUGAGGUAAUGGCCCACCAAACCUGUAACCGGUACGGGCUCUGAGAGGAGGAGCCCGGAGAUGGGCACUGAGACAAGGGCCCAGGCCCUAUGGGGCGCAGCAGGCGCGAAACCUCUGCAAUAGGCGAAAGCCUGACAGGGUUACUCUGAGUGACUUUCGCUAAGAAAGUCUUUUGGCACCUCUAAAAAGGGUGCAGAAUAAGGGGUGGGCAAGUCUGGUGUCAGCCGCCGCGGUAAUACCAGCACCCCGAGUGGUCGGGACGAUUAUUGGGCCUAAAGCAUCCGUAGCCGGUUCUGCAAGUCCUCCGUUAAAUCCAGCUGCUCAACAGAUGGGCUGCGGAGGAUACUACAGAGCUAGGAGGCAGGAGAGGCAAGCGGUACUCAGUGGGUAGGGGUAAAAUCCGUUGAUCCAUUGAAGACCACCAGUGGCGAAGGCGGCUUGCCAGAAUGCGCUCGACGGUGAGGGAUGAAAGCUGGGGGAGCAAACCGGAUUAGAUACCCGGGUAGUCCCAGCCGUAAACGAUGCAGACUCGGUGAUGGGUUGGCUUCGCGCUAACCCAGUGCCGCAGGGAAGCCGUUAAGUCUGCCGCCUGGGUAGUACGGUCGCAAGACUGAAACUUAAAGGAAUUGG